AGAGUUUGAUCCUGGCUCAGGAUGAACGCUAGCGGCAGGCUUAACACAUGCAAGUCGAGGGGCAGCACGAAAAAGCUUGCUUUUUUGGUGGCGACCGGCGCACGGGUGCGUAACGCGUAUGCAACCUACCCUGUACUGGGGAAUAGCCCGAAGAAAUUCGGAUUAACACCCCAUAGUAUUACUAGUUCGCAUGAGCUUGGUAAUUAAAGGUUACGGUACGGGAUGGGCAUGCGUCCUAUUAGCUAGAUGGUAAGGUAACGGCUUACCAUGGCUACGAUAGGUAGGGGUCCUGAGAGGGAGAUCCCCCACACUGGUACUGAGACACGGACCAGACUCCUACGGGAGGCAGCAGUGAGGAAUAUUGGUCAAUGGAGGCAACUCUGAACCAGCCAUGCCGCGUGCAGGAAGACUGCCCUAUGGGUUGUAAACUGCUUUUAUACAGGAAGAAACUUACCCACGUGUGGGUAACUGACGGUACUGUAGGAAUAAGGACCGGCUAACUCCGUGCCAGCAGCCGCGGUAAUACGGAGGGUCCGAGCGUUAUCCGGAAUCAUUGGGUUUAAAGGGUCCGUAGGCGGGCGAUUAAGUCAGAGGUGAAAUCCCACAGCUUAACUGUGGAACUGCCUUUGAUACUGGUUGUCUUGAGUUACAGUGAAGUAGAUAGAAUAUGUAGUGUAGCGGUGAAAUGCAUAGAUAUUACAUAGAAUACCGAUUGCGAAGGCAGUCUACUAACUGUCGACUGACGCUGAUGGACGAAAGCGUGGGGAGCGAACAGGAUUAGAUACCCUGGUAGUCCACGCCGUAAACGAUGGUCACUAGUUGUUGGGGCUUUAUGCUUCAGUGAUUAAGCGAAAGUGAUAAGUGACCCACCUGGGGAGUACGAUCGCAAGAUUGAAACUCAAAGGAAUUGACGG
rnacentral:rRNA from 1 species